UACAGAGACUGCAAGCGUUAUUCGGAUUCACUGGGCGUAAAGGGUGCGCAGGCGGCCAAGUGUGUUAGGCGUGAAAGCCCGGGGCUUAACCCCGGAAUUGCACCUAAAACUACAUGGCUAGAGCAUUGGAGAGGGUAGCGGAAUUCACGGUGUAGCAGUGAAAUGCGUAGAUAUCGUGAGGAACACCAGAGGCGAAGGCGGCUACCUGGACAAUUGCUGACGCUCGAGG
rnacentral:rRNA from 1 species